UACGUAGGGUGCGAGCGUUAAUCGGAAUUACUGGGCGUAAAGCGUGCGCAGGCGGUUUUGUAAGCCAGGUGUGAAAUCCCCGGGCUCAACCUGGGAAUGGCAUUUGGGACUGCAAGGCUGGAGUGCGGCAGAGGAGACUGGAAUUCCUGGUGUAGCAGUGAAAUGCGUAGAUAUCAGGAGGAAUACCGGUGGCGAAGGCGGGUCUCUGGGCCGAUACUGACGCUGAGGAGCGAAAGCGUGGGGAGCGAACAGG
rnacentral:rRNA from 1 species